rnacentral:rRNA from 1 species
UACGUAGGGUGCAAGCGUUGUCCGGAAUUAUUGGGCGUAAAGAGCUCGUAGGCGGCUUGUCGCGUCGACCGUGAAAACUUGGGGCUCAACCCUAAGCCUGCGGUCGAUACGGGCAGGCUAGAGUUCGGUAGGGGAGACUGGAAUUCCUGGUGUAGCGGUGAAAUGCGCAGAUAUCAGGAGGAACACCGGUGGCGAAGGCGGGUCUCUGGGCCGAUACUGACGCUGAGGAGCGAAAGCGUGGGGAGCGAACAGG